rnacentral:lncRNA from 1 species
UCGCAUUUUGCUAUAUAGAAUUUGGCAGACUUGUUUUUCUUAGCUGACGUAAAACUCUAGCAACCUCAAAAGUAGAACCUCAGUCUAAUUGAAUUGCUAAAUGGCAACAACCAGAAGACCAUUGUAGUCAGAAAAAGAAAAGCUAGUAUUAAAUUACUAAAGCAUAUUUAUGGGAUAACAACAAUAUUUUCUAUUUGAAAAUGCACUUAUUGACAAUAAAAAGCAAAAACUGGAAAAGAAAUUAAAGAAGACUAACUAACUCCAGCUCUCACGAAAAAAAUAAGGCGAUGGCAAAUUUAGCAAGUUGCUGGAAACUAGCACCACAGAUAAACAAUCCCCACAAAAGUGCAUCGCUUCAAAAGAGAAUACAACUGAAAAGUGUAAAAGAAGCAUAAUCAGAAUAAUAUUUAGUUGCAGCAAAUGAAUCAAAAACGACUCACAGAGAAUAGUAAACCCCAACUAAUGGGAAAAAAAGAAAGCAGCAAUCUCACGUUUGAUUCUUUUUAUACGUCGUCACUUUUGGGUUUUUCAACACACCUUAAACCUUAUACUCCAACUCUAUGAUAUGCUUAAUUUAGCCCUUUUAUUGAACCCCCUUUUUCUUUUACAAUCGGUGUUUGCAUUCUUUAAUAACUACUUUUACGGAGAUGGUUAACCGAGUCGUUAAACUGACUUCGAAAUAAAUUGGAUAACUUAGAUAUUUACAGGUACAAAAUUGACAAUUUAUUUGGGUUAAUCCUGUUAGGAGACAAAAAAAAUUGUAUCUAAACCAUAACUUCAGAAAUAGUUAAUGUAAUAACAAUUUUGCAAAAUUUAAACAAAAUCACCUUGGUUUCUUUUUUAAGUUUAAAUAUAAUUAUGGACAAAUACCUAAUAUUCUGAGAUAUUUUUCAUCUCCAGGAGACCAAUUGGUACAACUUUUCAUUUCCAUCUACUCCUUUUUAUUUUUUCUCUCUAUGCAUUUGAUAGCACAAAUAGAGGAGUGGAAGGCCGUAAAACUUUUGUAUCUCAGAACCCAACAUCUUAUUUUCAAAAAACUCCAACUGAAUCAUUGUUACAAAAAUCGUCCAAGUGUAAGAAUGUAAUUUACAUAUAUCUGUUAAAAUUUAAAUGAAUAUUACAAAAAUGGGCAACAAAUAUCAAAUUGAUGCAAAUUUGAUUGUUAAAAUUUUGCUAAAAUCACGUAAGAAAUUCGAGAAGAAAACCUAAGAAUCUUUAAAACAGAGACAUAAGAUUUACCUUGCGCUCUAGAAUCCUCAUUGGAGGCUACUCCCUAAUCCUCCAUGGAGAAGAGUGAUAUUGUCCAUAUUCCGGCGGUAAUGAGUAAUCCCCGUUCUUUAGGAGUGUUAAUGUUAAACGACCCCUAAAGGUUGACGUUUAGAGUUAAUAAAAGGAAGAGACGCAUUCGUUAAGAAUAUUAAA